GACGAACGCUGGCGGCGUGCUUAACACAUGCAAGUCGAGCGGUAAGGCCCUUUCGGGGGUACACGAGCGGCGAACGGGUGAGUAACACGUGGGUGACCUGCCCUCAGCUCUGGGAUAAGCCUGGGAAACUGGGUCUAAUACUGGAUAUGACUCCACGGUGCAUGUCGUGGGGUGGAAAGCCUUGUGCGGCUGAGGAUGGGCCCGCGGCCUAUCAGCUUGUUGGUGGGGGAUGGCCUACCAAGGCGACGACGGGUAGCCGGCCUGAGAGGGCGACCGGCCACACUGGGACUGAGACACGGCCCAGACUCCUACGGGAGGCAGCAGUGGGGAAUCUUGCGCAAUGGGCGAAAGCCUGACGCAGCGACGCCGCGUGAGGGAUGACGGCCUCGG
rnacentral:rRNA from 1 species